CCCUUAGAUGUCCUGGGCCGCACGCGCGUUACACUGAUGCAUUCAACGAGCUUAUAACCUUGGCCGAGAGGCCUGGGCAAUCUUGUUAACGUGCAUCGUGAUAGGGAUAGAUUAUUGAAAUUAUUAAUCUUGAACGAGGAAUUCCUAGUAAACGCAGAUCAUCAAUCUGCAUUGAUUACGUCCCUGCCCUUUGUACACACCGCGCGUCGCACCUACCGAUUGGAUGGUCCGGUGAAGCCUCGGGAUUGUGGUUCUUGCCGCUUUAUUGUGGCGUGACCGCGAGAACUUGUCUAAACCUUAUCAUCUAGAGGAAGGUGAAGUCGUAACA
rnacentral:rRNA from 1 species